UUUCCGUAGGUGAACCUGCGGAAGGAUCAUUAUUGAAAUAAACCUGAUGGGUUGUUGCUGGUUCUCUAGGGAGCAUGUGCACGCUUGUCAUCUUUAUAUCUCCACCUGUGCACCUUUUGUAGAUCUGGAUAUCUUUCUGAAUGCCUGGCAUUCAGGUUUGGGGAUUGACUUUGCUCUUUCCUUACAUUUCCAGACCUAUGUUUUCUUCAUAUACACCAUGUAUGUUAUAGAAUGUAAUAGUAAGGCCUUUGUGCUACAAACCUAUACAACUUUCAGCAACGGAUCUCUUGGCUCUCGCAUCGAUGAAGAACGCAGCGAAAUGCGAUAAGUAAUGUGAAUUGCAGAAUUCAGUGAAUCAUCGAAUCUUUGAACGCACCUUGCGCUCCUUGGUAUUCCGAGGAGCAUGCCUGUUUGAGUGUCAUUAAUAUAUCAACCUCCUCAGGUUUUUACUUGUCGAGUGUUUGGAUGUGGGGGUCUCUUUUGCUGGUCUCUUUUGAGUUCAGCUCCCCUGAAAUGCAUUAGUGGGAACAAUUUGUUGACUCGUUCAUUGGUGUGAUAACUAUCUACGCUAUUGACGUGAAGCAGGUUCUGCUUCUAACGGUCCAUUGACUUGGACAAAAUUUCAUUAAUGUGACCUCAAAUCAGGUAGGACUACCCGCUGAACUUAA
rnacentral:rRNA from 1 species